rnacentral:rRNA from 1 species
GACGAACGCUGGCGGCGUGCUUAACACAUGCAAGUCGAACGGAAAGGCCCUGCUUUUGUGGGGUGCUCGAGUGGCGAACGGGUGAGUAACACGUGAGUAACCUGCCCUUGACUUUGGGAUAACUUCAGGAAACUGGGGCUAAUACCGGAUAGGAGCUCCUGCUGCAUGGUGGGGGUUGGAAAGUUUCGGCGGUUGGGGAUGGACUCGCGGCUUAUCAGCUUGUUGGUGGGGUAGUGGCUUACCAAGGCUUUGACGGGUAGCCGGCCUGAGAGGGUGACCGGCCACAUUGGGACUGAGAAACGGCCCAGACUCAUACGGGGGGCAGCAGUGGGGAAUAUUGCACAAGGGGCGGAAGCCUGAUGCAGCAACCCCGGGUGGGGGAUGACGGCCUUCGGGUUGUAAACCUCUUUCGCCUGUGACGAAGCGUGAGUGACGGUAAUGGGUAAAGAAGCACCGGCUAACUACGU